UCUCUCAGAGACUCAGAGUCUCAGUCUCUCCCUCUCUCUGCGGUCCGGCUGCAUGAUUCUCAGGCUCUCAGUGGCUCAACCUCUCUCCGACUGUCGGAGUCCCCGGUGACAACGAAUUUCUGUCAUCACUCAUUCACUCUUGGUUUGCUUCUUUGACUCCUCCUCAAGCUGUCAAGCCACUCCUCAAGCAGCAAACUUUGGGCUUUCUGGGUUCGAUUUCUGGGUUCAAGGCUUCAAGGAGUUCAAGCUCGGUGAUUCUGCAAUACAUUGAAGCAUCCGACUCGCUCAAUAUUCCUGUAGCAUUUAUUAGUGCCAUCCUGCUCCCAGUUGUAGGAAAUAUGUGGUCUAUCCUGUUUUCCAUGAGAGAAAAACUUUCUUCUUGCAGGACCUCACGCUUGGAGUCGCUAUUGGAUUAUCUAUACAAACAUCCAUGUUUACAAUCCCCUUUUGUGUAAUUGUUGGGUGGAUAAUAGGAAAUCCUAUGGACAUGAAUUUUCAACUCUUUGAGACUGUUAUAUUGGUUAUGGCUGUGCUAGUAGUGGCAUUUAUGUUGCAGCAAGGAACGUCAACCGACUUCAAAGGAUUGAUGCUUAUCCUGUGUUAUCUCAUGGUUGCAGCAAGUUUUUUUUGUACAUGUAGAUGAGUAGAUCCUUGAAAUGGGUACUAAUCAGCAAGCACAACAUGCAAAUGUAAAUAUGGUAUCCUUAUUUUAGUACUUCAACUUCACUGCACAUUCAAAUAAAUGACCUGUACAGUUUGUUGUUUGCAAGUAAGAGAGCUGAAAUAAGCGAAAGGCUACCCUGCAUUGAGAAUGAGUGCUCGACCCAUCACUUAAAGAUCUUGCAGGAGAGUUGGAAGGAGCCAUCAAAUUGGUUGAACGAAAGCAUUUUGUUAAGUUCUGCUGAUACAUAUAUUCACAUGCAGCAACUGCAUAUGUGCAUGUUUUAUAUUGUAUCAGCUUUUGCUCUUUUUAAUUGUUAGCUAGAAUGCAGCAGCCAUCAAGCUAGCUAGAAUGCUUUCUUUUUUUGUUACAUGGUAUAGAUGAAUGUAUGGAUGAUUGAUAAAUACUAGCUCUUUUGGUACA